UACGUAGGGUCCGAGCGUUGUCCGGAAUUAUUGGGCGUAAAGGGCUCGUAGGCGGUCUGUUGCGUCGGGAGUGAAAACUUACAGCUUAACUGUGAGCGUGCUUCCGAUACGGGCAGACUUGAGGUAUUCAGGGGAGAACGGAAUUCCUGGUGUAGCGGUGAAAUGCGCAGAUAUCAGGAGGAACACCGGUGGCGAAGGCGGGUCUCUGGGCCGAUACUGACGCUGAGGAGCGAAAGCGUGGGGAGCAAACAGG
rnacentral:rRNA from 1 species